UACAGAGGUCUCAAGCGUUGUUCGGAUUCAUUGGGCGUAAAGCGCGCGUAGGCGGCCCUGUUAGUCCGCUGUAAAAGUCAAAGGCUCAACCUUUGAAUGCCGGUGGAUACUGCAGGGCUAGAGUCCGGAAGAGGCGAGUGGAAUUCCUGGUGUAGCGGUGGAAUGCGCAGAUAUCAGGAGGAACACCAACGGCGAAGGCAGCUCGCUGGGACGGUACUGACGCUGAGGCGCGAAAGCGUGGGGAGCGAACAGG
rnacentral:rRNA from 1 species